UACGAGAGGUGCAAGCGUUAUUCGGAAUUAUUGGGCGUAAAGGGCGCGUAGGCGGCUUUAUAAGUUUUUUGUUCAAUCUUCUGGCCUAACUGGAAAAAAGCAGAAAAUACUGUAUUGCUAGAGUAUAAUAGAGAAAAGUGGAAUUUUCGGAGUAGCGGUUAAAUGCGUAGAUCUCGAAAGGAACGCCAAUGGCGAAAGCAGCUUUUUGGGUUAUUACUGACGCUGAGGCGCGAAGGCGUGGGGAGCAAACAGG
rnacentral:rRNA from 1 species